AAUCAUGGCAUUAUUUCAAUUAAUUACAAUUAACACAGAAAAAUUAAAAAGGAAGAGGAUUAGGGUUUACGUUUUAUGACUAUCAGACUCUCUUCUCCUCUCACGCGAAUGACGGCAGCCGGACCAUCCUUUCUCCGGCGAAGAUUCUCUCCGCGCCUCCGUGAGCGACGAGGUCGCCUCACUUCUCGUUCAUCUCUCCCGACUCCUCUCCGAUUUCAUUCUCUCUGCUCUCAAUCUCUCCGUACUCUCGGUUCUCGCAUCGAAUCACUCUGAAUCAAGCUCUCAUCGAACAAAGAUUGAUGAUGAUGUUAAUAAAGCGUCGUUGUUGUUCUUGUUGCGUGUAGCGACUAAUGUUGAAAUCGCAGAGAAUUGAAGGUGCGGGUGAACUGGCGAAUGCUUUUCUGAGUUAUUGUGAAGCAAAUCCGAAGGUCGACGAAGGUUUGGGAGAUCUUCUCAUUUUCCUUUUCUGAGUUUCUAAGGUUUUUUUUUUGCAGAUCGAUGGUGGUGAUUGACGUUGAGACGCGGUAAAGAUUGAUGAUAAACAGCAAUGGUGAUGAUUGAAGAGGUGAUGAAGAUGAUGAACACAGUUUCGAGAGAGGUGAAGAUGAUGAUUCCAGAACAGUUUGUUACCUUUCCGGUUCGGAGUUUGUUACAUUCUUCUUUUUCGUUUUUUUUCUUUCAUUCUUCGUUCUCUCUUUUUUCUGUUAUGGAUUCUGUUGCAAUUUUCUGUGACUUUUUGAAGAUUGAAAGCUGACACGAAGGUGAUGAUUAUGCUCUGAGGAAGGUGAAGAUUGGAUGAUUGCAGAUGAAGAAGUUAUGAAGGUGAAGAUUGAAGGUUAUGGUUGGAGGACAAUGCGAUGAAGAUGGAGGGAGAGAUGUUCGAUGAAGGUUCCCCGAUUCAGAAGUUUGUUGCACGGUUUGCUACAGGUUCUUCUUCAAUUCUCAAAUUCUGUUAUGCUCUUCCUCUUGAGCUUUUUCUGAGUUUUCGUUGAUGAAGAUUUGAAGUUGCAGCAAUCGAGAGAGAAAGAUGAAGAUUGAAGGAGAAUUGAUCGAUGGAGAUUCUAGAAGAAGAUUGAGCAAGAGAAAAAGUUUGUUACAGGUUUUUUCUGUCAAUUGGUGAAUGAAUGUUAUGGAGAUAGGCGAAAAGUUGUUGGUGAGAAAGAUGAAGAAGGUUGAAUUGAAGCGUUGAAGAAGAUGAUUCAGAGAGCGAGGUUCGGUUUUGUUCCAACGGGCUUUAGUUUAUUGUGUUGAAUUGAUACAAGCGGCGGGUCGGCCCUAUUGGUCAUCAAUACAUCAAUUGAAGAUACCACAAACCGUUUGAAGAUUUGGACUUAUUUAAGUAAUAGCUUUGGAUGUUGAGUUCUUCGUGAAAUUUCCAUGGAAUGCAACAUGAUUAGAUUUGAAAUGAGUAUAUGAACAUUGCAUGGUCUUGAAGAAAUGUGGACAUUUGAGUUUUUUUGAAAUGAAUUUGUAAUGGUGUAAAGGAUAUUUUUGAAUGCUUAAAAAAACGAUGGUGAACAUCUUGAAUUCCAA